rnacentral:rRNA from 1 species
GUUUACGGCCAUACCACCCUGUCUGCACCAGAUCUCGUCUGAUCUCGGAAGCUAAGCAGGGUCGGGCCUGGU